rnacentral:rRNA from 1 species
AUUGAACGCUGGCGGCAUGCCUUACACAUGCAAGUCGAACGGUAACGCGGGGCAACCUGGCGACGAGUGGCGAACGGGUGAGUAAUGCAUCGGAACGUGCCCAGUAGUGGGGGAUAGCCCGGCGAAAGCCGGAUUAAUACCGCAUACGACCUACGGGUGAAAGGGGGGGAUCGCAAGACCUCUCACUAUUGGAGCGGCCGAUGUCAGAUUAGGUAGUUGGUGGGGUAAAGGCCCACCAAGCCUUCGAUCUGUAGCUGGUCUGAGAGGACGACCAGCCACACUGGGACUGGGACACGGCCCAGACUCCUACGGGAGGCAGCAGUGGGGAAUUUUGGACAAUGGGCGCAAGCCUGAUCCAGCCAUGCCGCGUGCGGGAAGAAGGCCUUCGGGUUGUAAACCGCUUUUGUCAGGGAAGAAACGCUCUGGGCUAAUACCUCGGGGUAAUGACGGUACCUGAAGAAUAAGCACCGGCUAACUACGUGCCAGCAGCCGCCGUAA